rnacentral:misc_RNA from 1 species
CUUCCUCUUUUAUAAAAUGAAAGUCAUUUUCCUUAAAAAUGACUUAAUUUUUCUUUGACUAAGAAAAUAUUUUCUUUUGAUCCAUUUUUUCAAAUGUCCUAAACGCUAAUAAAUGCAGAAAAUAUUCUUAAUAUGCUUUUAAGCUACAACAAUUAAGAAUCAUUAGAUGCUAGAAUCUCAUCUAGGAACAAGUUUCUUGUAAUUUAUCUAAUUCCCAUUUUGGAUUUCACAGACAUCAAAAAUUGGUGUAACUAGC